rnacentral:rRNA from 1 species
AAUGAACGUUGGCGGCGUGGAUUAGGCAUGCAAGUCGUGCGCGAAUCGUAGCAAUACGAGGAGAGCGGCGAAAGGGAGAGGAUAGCAUAGAUACCUACCCUCGGACCUGGGAUAGCUAUGGGAAACUAUAGGUAAUACCAGAUAAUGUCUCCGGACCAAAGGUGUGAUUCCGUCCGGGGAGGGGUCUAUGUCCUAUUAGCUUGUUGGUGAGGUAACGGCUCACCAAGGCAAAGAUGGGUACGAGGCGUGAGAGCGUGUCCUCGCUCACUGGGACUGAGACACUGCCCAGACACCUACGGGUGGCUGCAGUCGAGAAUCUUCGGCAAUGGGCGCAAGCCUGACCGAGCGACGCCGCGUGUGGGAUGAAGGCCUUCGGGUUGUAAACCACUGUCAGUGCGGAGGAAAUAUAGGGGGGUACUCUCCUCUAUUUGACCUAUGCGCAGAGGAAGGACGGGCUAAGUUCGUGCCAGCAGCCGCCGUAA